rnacentral:rRNA from 1 species
UACAGAGGUCUCAAGCGUUGUUCGGAUUCAUUGGGCGUAAAGGGUGCGUAGGCGGCGCGGUAAGUCGGGUGUGAAAUCUCGGGGCUUAACUCCGAAACUGCAUUCGAUACUACCGUGCUUGAGGACUGGAGAGGAGACUGGAAUUUACGGUGUAGCGGUGAAAUUCGUAGAUAUUCGCAAGAACACCAGUGGCGAAGGCGGCUCACUGGUCCGGUACUGACGCUGAGGUGCGAAAGCGUGGGGAGCAAACAGG